GUUUAAACCUGAUUGACGUGGAAAUACUUUUUGCUAUUCAUCCUCAUCAUUUUCAGGGCUGACAUUCGCAAAAAGAUUGAAACAAAAAGCAGGGCUGCAA
rnacentral:sRNA from 1 species